rnacentral:pre_miRNA from 1 species
UUGACAGAAGAGAGUGAGCACGCAGAGGGACCAAUUGUAUAGAUGUGCUAUACCUUUGCUUUUGCGUGCUCACUGCUCUUCCUGUCAG